GUUAGUAAGACUCCUGGAAGAACACCAGGUUGAUAGGUUAGAGGUGUAAGCAUGGUAACAUGUUCAGCUGACUAAUACUAAUAAGUCGAGGGCUUGACCUU
rnacentral:rRNA from 1 species